UCUUAGUGGUAUGCCCAGAACAUGUGUUUAUAGAAUUAUCUCCCUUAGUAGGAAAAAACCGAUUUGUUGUGAUGAAAGCGCAUGGUUGAGAAUUGGGAAAACUGCGAUGUUGGAUGUAAAUGAAGAGGAACCAUGGUGUUCACGGAGUCUACGAUGUGUAUUUGAGUAACUAUAUUUGUUGUGUGAUAUGCGACGGCUCCCGUAUUUGACAUGCAUCUGAAUAAAUCCUCGAACUUUGAAUUUUGUGUUUACUGCGAGUUGCACGUGCGAAUUCGUCCCUAGCGGGGUACCGCUAUAGACAUAUUCAGAUGUGAAGAAUCAAGAACAGAUUUAAUGACAGGGAAGUUUUGCAUCAGUGAUCAUCGUGAAGUGGAAGAUAAGACAUUUUAAGGGUACCUGGAUUUCAUAGUGACACCAGUUCAGACAAGCCAUACAAAAGACUCAUCGGAUGAUGAAUAUUCCACCCCAGAACAACCAACAGGUUCACCUCAGAAAGUGAUAAUUCUGACUGAAUAAUGCCACAUCAGUGUGAUUCUGUGGGUUGUUUUAUUACGACACUAAUCAAGUCUGAAGGAAUUAAUACCACAGUAGUGUGACUAUGUUUAUUUGGUGUACACCAACGAUGACUUUUGUGGUUUACUGCACAAACACAAUUGACAUUAGAUAUUCUUCUAUCUUGAAAUUCUUCUGAGAUUUAACUAAUUUGUUUAUUUAGAAAAAGGCAUUGAAGCGUCUGUUUCUGUUUUUGAAAGUUCUUGCAAACACCACUGGUUUCAGAACCAAUGAAAUAUCAUAAAAUCAAUAAAUAUGAUUUUUUAUCUAAACAAAUUCUUUGUUUUGCUUCAUUAGCAUAAAGAAAUAUAAUAUUGAUCAACCAUAACAUAGGUGCUGAACAUAUAUCAAAUAUACAAAUGCCCUGAAUAUUUUCCUACAAUUAAUAUAGCUCAUUGAACAAUGUUUUUUUGUUCCAUGUCAGUAGAAAAAAUACAUUGAUAUUUCUAUGUACUGGUACC